AAUUCAUAUAUUGCACGGGCUCUAUCGAUAUCACCAAGAAUGGUCUCUAGUUCAGCAAAUUUAAUCCAUGAUGUGCAGUUUUCUGGUGCAAACUCCAGGAAUUUUUCAUACAGCUUUCGACAACGAUCAAAUUCUCGCAACUGUAACUCCAGUUCAAUAUAACCUUUAAAAAGUUUGUUUUUCGGACAUUUGCCUAUGGAUGUUCCCAAAGCUCUUCUAGCAAGUGGAAGAUUUUUCUGUCUUAUUUCAAAUUGUGCAUACAGCAGCCAUAUUUUGGCAAAUGUAAACUUCUUGUGUGGAAGGAGCUCAAUACAUGCCUGAUAAACUUGUCUGGUUCGCUCUGGAUCCUUUGCCUCUAGCUCUUCAUAUAAUGCAUAGUUAAUCCAAAGAUAGAUGUAUCUCUUCCAGUAUCUCUUCUCUUGAAUUGGGGGAACGUUAGCGAUGGCUCUUUCAUACACUUCUCGGACAGUCUCUGCAUCAGCAUCACUUUCAACUAACCUCAAGUAGUCAAACCACGCAUCAUAAUUAUGUGGAUUUGCCUUCACUUCCUCUUCAUACUGGAAUCUUCGCUUGCUGACAAUUAUGUCUUCAAUACCCCUUCUAUCUCCAAACUUCUUCUCAAAAAUGGUGUAAUUUUUGAAGAGAUUCUGGGCAUCCUGUUUUGGAAUUCUAUCCAAGGCAUACUUGUAGAUCACCCUUACUCUUUCAAAUUCUUUUUGGUUCUCUUCAAACUUCGCAAAAGCCACAUACAAGUGCUCAUCCAUAUGCUCUUCUCCAAAGAACUCCACUGCCCUCUCAUAUACUUUCCUGGCAUGAGCAAAAUAACAGUGCUUCUCUUCAAAGCGGGCAUACUUGAUCCAGUUUUUCACAUCAGGAUGGACAAUAACGAAUCUUUCAUAAAUGGUACGUGCCCUAUCCACCUCCUUGUAUCUCAACUCGAAGUUAAUAUAGGAAUGCCAAGCUUGCUCCUCUGGUUGCCAUUCCAUCCAGCGUUCAAACACCUGACGUGAUCCAGCAACAUUCCCCAGCAUCUCUUCCAUGUAAGUGUACUUAUACCUUAGAAAACAAGAUCUAGUGUUUACAAUCACUUAGUAAAUACAAAUUACAAUGAUUUUUCAAGUGCUUAAUAAGAGCAUCACUGACACUUCUACCACCUAUUCCCC
rnacentral:lncRNA from 1 species